rnacentral:rRNA from 1 species
UCGGGAAUUUUGGGCAAUGGGCGAAAGCCUGACCCAGCAACGCCGCGUGAAGGAUGAAGUAUUUCGGUAUGUAAACUUCGUAAGAAUAGGAAGAAUAAAUGACGGUACUAUUUGUAAGGUCCGGCUAACUACGUGCCAGCAGCCGCGGUAAUACGUAGGGACCAAGCGUUGUUCGGAUUUACUGGGCGUAAAGGGCGCGUAGGCGGCAUGACAAGUCACUUGUGAAAUCUCUGGGCUUAACCCAGAACGGCCAAGUGAUACUGUCGCGCUAGAGUGUAGAAGGGGCAAUCGGAAUUCUUGGUGUAGCGGUGAAAUGCGUAGAUAUCAAGAGGAACACCUGAGGUGAAGACGGGUUGCUGGGCUGACACUGACGCUGAGGCGCGAAAGCCAGGGGAGCAAACGGGAUUAGAUACCCCCGUAGUCCCUGAGCGGGCUGGCAAGGCGCAU